rnacentral:rRNA from 1 species
GAGUUUGAUCCUGGCUCAGAACGAACGCUGGCGGCGUGCCUAACACAUGCAAGUCGAACGUGAUCCAGAGCUUGCUCUGGUGAAAGUGGCGCACGGGUGAGUAACGCGUGGAUAACCUACCCUGGUAUCCGGGAUAACAUUCCGAAAGGGGUGCUAAUACCGGAUAAGCCCACGGGCUCUUUGGAGCUUGCGGGAAAAGGCGGCCUCUAUUUAUAAGCUACUGUAUCAGGAUGGGUCCGCGUACCAUUAGCUAGUUGGCGGUGUAACGGACCACCAAGGCGACGAUGGUUAGCUGGUCUGAGAGGAUGAUCAGCCACACUGGAACUGAGACACGGUCCAGACUCCUACGGGAGGCAGCAGUGGGGAAUUUUGCGCAAUGGGGGAAACCCUGACGCAGCAACGCCGCGUGAGUGAUGAAGGCCUUUGGGUCGUAAAGCUCUGUCAGAGGGGAAGAAAUGAUAUAGUGCUAAUACCACUUUAUCUUGACGGUACCCUCAAAGGAAGCACCGGCUAACUCCGUGCCAGCAGCCGCGGUAAUAC